rnacentral:lncRNA from 1 species
UCUGUAGUUAAAAUUUACUCUGCUAUAUAGAGUACCCACAUUACAUGAGAAUACGAAGUGAAAUGUAUUUUUAUCCUUGCAUCUUCUAGAGCCUGUCCUAUCCUUCUCCUUGGCAGUUUAAGUCUAGAAUGCUGCUAAUGUACCAAUGCUCAAGGAUAGUACAGGAAGAGCCAUUAGUUGCAGAAAUCUGAGCAAAAGCACUAGCAAUCAAUGCAGGUCAUAGGGAGAGUGUUUGAAGCCAUUGUCAGGUCCAAAGCGGUUAGUGGUGCAAAGCAGACAGUUAUCCCUCCAUUUGGGCUUUUGUCAUCACAGUGUAUGUAUUUUCUUAGUCUCGCUUCUCCAUGCCUGCCCCCUGCCCUGCUCCACUCCUGCUGCCUGUCCUGUAAUAUGUCAGAGUGGGAUUUUGACCUUCUUUGUAGAUGCUGCCUUUAGAUACUUGUGUGAGCUGAGGACACUAGACCUUUCCUGCAAC